CUUGGUCAUUUAGAGGAAGUAAAAGUCGUAACAAGGUUUCCGUAGGUGAACCUGCGGAAGGAUCAUUAUUGAAAUCCUUAGGAUGUUGCUGUGCCCUCCCUCAGGGGGGCAAAUGUGCACUCCGCCUUUUCAACUCACCUGUGAACUUAUUGUAGGCCCAGAUGUUGAUAAUCUGCGUCUAUGUUAUUUUUCCUUCACACACACACAUGUCAUCAGAAUGUAUGUUGAGACCUUUAUUGGUCAAAAGCCUUUAAAUACAACUUUCAACAAUGGAUCUCUUGGUUCUCGCAUCGAUGAAGAACGCAGCGAAAUGCGAUAAGUAAUGCGAAUUGCAGAAUUCAGUGAAUCAUCGAAUCUUUGAACGCACCUUGCACCCUCUGGCAUUCCGGAGGGUAUGCCUGUUUGAGUGUCAUUAAUCUCUCAACACAAGAAACUUUGUCUCCUUGUGCUUGGAUAUUGAAGGUUUUGCUGGCGCAAACAACUGUCAGCUCCUUUUAAAUGUAUUAGCAGAGCAGUAUAGGACUGGCCUCGGUUUGAUAAGAAACUUUAUCUAUGCUGUCGCUGGGUUUUCCUCUUUGUGCUCAGCUUCAAAUUGUCUUCGGACUGUCUCUUGAGGCAACAAAAUCUCUAUUGAUCGACCUCAAAUCAGGUAGGACUACCCGCUGAACUUAAGCAUAUCAAUAAGCGGAGGA
rnacentral:rRNA from 1 species